rnacentral:rRNA from 1 species
UACGUAGGUGGCAAGCGUUGUCCGGAUUUACUGGGCGUAAAGAGCGCGCAGGCGGUCGGAUAAGUCGAGUGUGAAAGCCCCCUGGCUCAACCAGGGAGGGUCAUUCGAUACUGUUCGACUCGAAGGCGGGAGAGGGAAGUGGAAUUCCGGGUGUAGUGGUGAAAUGCGCAGAUAUCAGGAAGAACACCCGUGGCGAAGGCGGCUCUCUGGGACGGUACUGACGCUGAGGCGCGAAAGCGUGGGGAGCAAACAGG